CCAAACCAGGGAUUGAACCCAGGCCCCAGAGGUGAAAGCAGCCAGUCCUUACCACUUCCCCACCACGGAAUUCCCCUGUGGAUGUCAAUUUUAAAAAUCUUGACUAUAUGAACUUACACUGGCUUCUAAACUACGUAAAGUCUCCAUUGGCUUAAAAUUGUCUUCUAUCCACUUUCUAGAGUCCUGUUUUCUGAUAUUAUUAGUAAGUGCAGCUCUUUGCACUGGAAGAUGGCACCGGUGACUCACUUUUUGGAGGGCUGUAUCUCUGAGAUGCUUCUGUUGGGGAAGGAUUUGUACUGUCCACAUUGGAAGGUUGCUAUUCUUUUCUGUGUAAGGAACGACUUGACUAAUGGAUUGUGGAACUCUUUUCUGCUGCAUCUACCCUGGCCUGCUUCUCGUGUUUUCCUUGGAAGCUACCCCCUGUCCUUCACAUCUGGGAGACGACCUGAAGCCCAGCUGCACCUGGGCACUGCAUCUUGCUUUCUCUAGACAAAAGCAUAGAAAAUGUUUUAAAAAUCAAGCCAAAGACAUUUAAAUGUAAUUCUUGAAAGAAAACUUAAGAAUCGUCUUCUACAAGAAGGAAGAGCCCUCUUCCCUCCCACUUGAAUUUCAGUGUCUGUGCUCUGUACGGAUCUUGAUUCCUUCUCGCUGAGAGCACUCCUCGUCUCAGGAAUAAGUGGUUCACUUCUUUCCUCCACUGGCUGAAAACUUCAAGAGGUAACAGAUAUCAUCUUUUUGAACCCCACACCUCUCUGAUCCCAGAAUCUGGGCUCUUUCACACAACACACACCCCAUCUCCCAAUGUAUGCCCAGCACAACACUGGAUCUACAAAAGGAACAAUAUUCAAGUAUCUCAAGCUGGAAAGAAACUCAUAUGUCAUUGAAUCAACUCUGUUUUUAUACAUGAGCCCAAAGACACAGUGGUUUACUCACAGCACCCCAGAAAAUUAAUGGCACAACUGUCUCAGGAAGUUUCCUCUGUACCACAAGGAGAUCAUUCAAGACUUGAAAUCUAGUCCCUCAGAUGACUGUACAAUAAGCACACAAAUAAUUAUAAUACAAGGUAUUAUAUGAGAAAAAGUUUGAGAGCAGAUGGACAGGGGAGAAAUCAUAUCUUUAGGCUGGGCUGGGGCAGGUCAUCAGGAUUGUGUGAAAUUGUUCUCAACAUUUUUGGCCUCAGAACCCUUUUACAGUCUUAAAUGAUUGCAAAUGCCAAAGAGCUUGUUUCUUUGUGGUUAUAUCUCUCGAUAUUUAUCGUAUUAGAAAUGAAAACUGAAGACAUGAGAAACUAUUAAAUUAACUUAAAUUCAUUACACAUCGCUUGUUCAUAUAACCACUAGUCUCAGCAGGAAAGUCUCAUGCUCAGAGUGGUGAAUAAAGUUUUCCAAAAUUUUAACGUUU